AGUGGCGCACGGGUGCGUAACACGUAGAUAACCUGCCCUGAAGAGGGGGAUAACGUUCCGAAAGGAGCGCUAAUACCGCAUAACGCUGCGAGUGGUUUGCCACUUGCGGACAAAGGUAGGGACCGGCAACGGCCUAUCGCUUCAGGAGGGGUCUGCGGCCCAUCAGCCAGUUGGUGAGGCAAUGGCUCACCAAGGCAGAGACGGGUAGCUGGUCUGAGAGGAUGAUCAGCCACACUGGUACUGGAACACGGACCAGACUCCUACGGGAGGCAGCAGUGGGGAAUCUUGGUCAAUGGGCGCAAGCCUGAACCAGCGAUGCCGCGUGAGUGAUGAAGGCCUUCGGGUUGUAAGCUCUGUGGGGGGGGGAGAAAAAGCACGUUCUAACAGGACGUGUGUUGACGGUACCUCCUUAGCAAGCACCGGCUAACUCUGUGCCAGCAGCCGCGGUAAGACAGAGGGUGCAAACGUUGCUCGGAAUCACUGGGCGUAAAGCGCGUGUAGGCGGCAGCGUAAGUCGGGCGUGAAAUCCCACGGCUCAACCGUGGAAGUGCACUCGAAACUGCGCAGCUAGAGUCCUGGAGAGGAAGGUGGAAUGCUUGGUGUAGAGGUGAAAUUCGUAGAUAUCAAGCGGAACACCGGUGGCGAAGGCGGCCUUCUGGACAGUGACUGACGCUGAGACGCGAAAGCGUGGGGAGCAAACAGGAUUAGAUACCCUGGUAGUCCACGCCGU
rnacentral:rRNA from 1 species